UACGUAGGGGGCAAGUGUUGUCCGGAAUCAUUGGGCGUAAAGCGCGUGUAGGCGGUCCGGUAAGUCCGCUGUGAAAGUCGGGGGCUCAACCCUCGGAUGCCGGUGGAUACUGUCGGGCUUAAGUACGGAAGAGGCGAGUGGAAUUCCUGGUGUAGCGGUGAAAUGCGCAGAUAUCAGGAGGAACACCAAUUGCGAAGGCAGCUCGCUGGGACGUUACUGACGCUGAGACGCGAAAGCGUGGGGAGCAAACAGG
rnacentral:rRNA from 1 species